rnacentral:rRNA from 1 species
AUGAAGAUCAAUGUUGAUGGCGCACUAGCAAGGAACAUACGUGCUGGGGUGGUUGCUGCCAUAUGUCGAGAUUCAAACGGGAACUUUCUUGGCUCGUCAGCGGUUGUGUUUGGGGGCACCCGGGACCCAAUGAUCCUGAAAACAUACACAUGUCGGGAGGCCCUUUCUCUUGCAGAAGACCUGAACGAGCAUGAUAUUCUGAUGGCUUCAGAUUGCCAAGGGGUGGUGCAUGAUAUCAAUAAAGGGACAGGAGGUCCCAAUGCAGCUGUAAUACAUGAAAUAAUAGAUCGUAGAGCUAGUUUUUCUUCAUGCUCGUUUGUGUUUGAGCGAAGGAACUUUAACUUCGAGGCUCAUAAUCUCGCUAAAUUUGCAUGUAAUUUAGGUAUAGGUAGGCAUGUUUGA